CACAGACCGAUGCUUCAAUAUUCUGUCACCUUUACUUGGAAAAUAAGGUCAUGUUAUAUAGCAUUCAUUACUUAAUAUUUUAUACAAUUAAAAUAUUUAGCUAAGUAACAGUGUGUUGAGUGGGUGUGUUUGUGUAUGCGUGGGUAUAAAUAAGUAUAAGUAAACAAGUAUUAAUGGUGCAAUAGCACUGAAUAAUUUAUCCAGGCCAAAUGAAUUAUUUUCAGCCUUUUGCUGUUGAACAUUUCAAACUGAAUUCCACAAGUUCAUUUACAAUAUUCUUUUUUAAUAGGCAUAUUGCAGUAAUAGUAUUCACAGUGUUUUGGGGUAUCAUAGCUAAAUUAAGGAUUUGUUGGCUGGAGAGCCCAUUUUUCCCACUUAGAUCAGCUGGUCAGUUGAAAGAUCCUACUUCUGUCUGCAAAAGCCAUGUUUUUUCUAAUUGAUUAAUUUAGUUUGUAUAGGUCUUCAUUUCUGAUGAAUGUGGCACGAAUGUUUAAAAGCAAAUUAAUACAGAGCCUGGAGGAUCAGUGAAUACCAAUCAACCCCUGAAGUCUCACAGUGAGACCAAGUGGAAAAGAGAGGAUGGACUGAUCAGAGAUAAAGUGACGUGCAGAAAUCCUUUUGUGGUACAGUGGGGCCAACAGCAGAACCAAGGAAUGUGGGGAAAACUGCCUCUGCAACAAGAACAUCAGAUCUUUUCUCUCCUCACUGAACAUCCUGCGUUCUCCCCUCAGGACUCAAGAAAAGCUCAGUGGAGAAGGGCAGGAGACCAAAACCAGACCCCACACAGAUGGGAAAGAAGAAAGAGCAUCUGAAAAUCUCUGGAAACUAUGUACAAUCUACGUACAAUAAGAUUUAUGCCCUGAAGCUUAAAAUAAGGGAUAAGACUUUUAAU
rnacentral:lncRNA from 1 species